UAGAGAAAUGUUUUGUUCAACUGUUGUCUAAUCUGCUACUUGCUAGAACGAAGUGGAGGGAACCGGUUGGUUGUUUAUGAAUGUGACGUGUGUGUGUGGUUUGUAUCAUUUAUGUGUUGGAAGAACAAAUUUAAGGUUAGAAACAAGGAUAGAAGUGUACAGGAACAAUCAGUGAUGAAUUUGUGACUAUACAUAACCUAAAAGAAUCUGUUGCAGCACAAAUGUUCUACACGAGGUGUACCUCAUCAACGGGAAAUGGAUGUAGGAACCACACCUGAAAUGAGACUCGGGAAGGUGUCUUUAACCAGAAACGUAUGGGCUGGUCUGGUGAUCCUUCACGUUCUGUAACGGAAGUUGAAUAUGAAGAUGAAGGAUGCUCCACGGACAUCAUUAGUUCAGCUGGACUACUCGGAAGUAUACAAAUUCUGCAUUUGCUUACAAAACACAUGAAGUCACUAUCACAGGAAUCAAACCCUGAAGAAGGAAAUAUUUUGUUGAAACCUCAACUCAAGAUGGUUCUAGAGGCAGACAUGAAGGCCUGCACUCUAACAUGAUCUCCAUAAAAGAGUCCAUGUCAUAUGCAAAAUCGCCAACAUGUAAGAUGGCAUCGUACAUUCCACGUUGAACUUCCUCCUGAAGAUGUGGUAAUGACUUUGCAUUUUCAUUACCCAAAUCACCAAAUAUUGCCAACUGAGGACUCCACGUAGAUUCGUCCGGUGACGUUAUAAACCAAAACAUAUCUGACCAGCCCUGGUCACUGCCGCAAUGGUAAACUGUAAUAUUACACAAGACCAGAUGAUAAGGUAAUUUGUAUGUAGGCUGAAUCGAAAACACAUGUGGCAUAUGUAAAUAUUUCUGUAAUACUUUCAUUUUUAUUCAUUACAACUUAAGAAAACUACUUGAGAACUGUUUGAAAAAAAGCAGAUUUCAAUCACAACCCACUUACCUAAUCUCUAUUUUCCGUGUUAAAAUAUGUAUAGAAUCUGACAAGCAAUAGUUGACACAAAUAUCGCCAAGGAAAAUAAUGUUCAUUCACGGCACGAAAUUUAACUUGCAAUCUCUACAAAUAAAAUGUAGGCACAGAAAACCACGACCAAGUGGUUAA